rnacentral:rRNA from 1 species
GAUGAACGCUGGCGGCGUGCCCAAUACAUGCAAGUCGAGCGAACGGACGAGAAGCUUGCUUUUCUGAUGUUAGCGGCGGACGGGUGAGUAACACGUGGAUAACCUACCUAUAAGACUGGGCUAACUUCGGGAAACCGGAGCUAAUACCGGAUAAUAUUUUGAACCGCAUGGUUCAAAAGUGAAAGACGGUCUUGCUGUCACUUAUAGAUGGAUCCGCGCUGCAUUAGCUAGUUGGUAAGGUAACGGCUUACCAAGGCAACGAUGCAUAGCCGACCUGAGAGGGUGAUCGGCCACACUGGAACUGAGACACGGUCCAGACUCCUACGGGAGGCAGCAGUAGGGAAUCUUCCGCAAAGGGCGAAAGCCUGACGGAGCAACGCCGCGUGAGUGAUGAAGGUCUUCGGAUCGUAAAACUCUGUUAUUAGGGAAGAACAUAUGUGUAAGUAACUGUGCACAUCUUGACGGUACCUAAUCAGAAAGCCACGGCUAACUACGUG